CAUUAGGUUGGAUUUUAGCAAUUGUUGCGAAGAUAAUAUUUUGAAAGUUAUAAUCGUAUUGUGCAAGACAAGGCGCGCUUUUUUUAAAGGUCUGUCUCGAAUUCGUCGUCAAUGUCAUCAUCUAAAAACUCCUCUUCCUUCCUCAACAUCAUUGUCGUCAUCAAUAUCUACAUUCGUGCAUGCAGUACACGACCAUACAUCUGUGUACUUCACUCCUGCUUCGUUACAUAAACAACGUUGGGAGUUACAGCCAGGUUGCAGCCAGUCUUACAACCACAAUGAACGUUAUCAAGUAGGGAAUUCGGCGCUAGGGGAAUGGUCAUCCAUACGAUUUCAGACUUGCAGUUUCCCGUCACUCGUUUGCCACCCAUUUUCAUCCGGAGGAGUAAUAUCCAUUUGUGGUUGUAAACAGAAAGGCCAAAGCGCGGCUUGGUACAAAAAUGUUGUAAUGAUUGUUAAUCUUCAGUUAAGGCUUUAUGCUCAAGAUCAUGUUUUACAGUUCAAGAAAGAAUAUUUUUCAGUG